rnacentral:lncRNA from 1 species
UUCGAAUUCUUGAAGACGACCCUUCAAAACCCUAUUUGAAUUUAAUCACAAAGAUGAUCAUACCCAUCCUGAAGUUUAUCCUCUAAAGACUCGUAACUUGUUGAAAUCAAACUAUUUGCAUGCGCAGUAUUAAAUACCUCAAUGUUUAUUCCCACCAUCUUUCUCUUGCAAGUUUGGGCAAUAACUUAACAAGUAACACUAAUCUCAUAGCAUUCAUUCGUUUGUCUGAUCUCUGAUAACGGAGAGACAAUUGGUAAUUUAUGUUGGAUAUUGGUUAUAUAAUAUGUUUUUAUAUGUUUAGUAUUAAAUAUAUCAAGGUAUUAAAGUGUAAAUGUUAUGCCUAUAUAAGCCUUUGUAUUCUUCUAUCAAAGAAAUGA